rnacentral:lncRNA from 1 species
UAAAGUGAUGCAAUGAACACUAAAGCUAGUGUAAAGUCAAGAUUGAACAUACAAUCCUUUGAGUUAAGGAUUCCGAUCAUGCUUGCUAUGAGUUCCGUGCUCGAGGGCGGUCGCUCCCCCUCGGGCGAUGCGCUCCGGAGUUAUGCAUCACGGGUUGGAGUAAACCCGAAGGACGGUCCUAGCAGGUGAGUUCCUGCGAUGAUGGACUUAAUGUGAAGCAAGUCAAUGUGGCGAUACCCCCGGGUUAGCCUUGAGAUUAAAGAACAAAGAGCAAAGAACAAAGAGCAAAGUAUAAAGAACAAAGAGCAAAUGUAAAGAUAAAGAACGAAAGAAUUUGCAUAAUCUGCAUAUAUUUAAUGUUGAGCUUAUUUCUUGCUAUUUGUUCAGGCAUAUUAGCAUCAUGUUAUAGAUUGGUUACUAUAUCCUACUUAUCCUUUCUAUUAUGCCUGAGUUAGUCCUAGUGGGAAAGUCGGUGAUGUUGAGGCCGAACCCACUGGGAACUUCGUUGUAGUUCUCACCCCACUAUUUCCACAGAGCCGGGACCGAGCGAGCCGGCGAGCGACCGAGGUAAAGGUAUCGCGCCUUAGUCAGAGGCCACCAAAGUUGGGAUACAUUUUGUUAGUAGCUACCCCAUGUUCAUCUUUUGUAUUUGAUGAUUAGUAAUGUAAAGAAAAGAAUGUAAAGCUUAUUUUGAGGUAAAUGUGAUGUAAGAAAGAAGUGAUGAAAUUAUGUAAUGAAAUGCAAAGAAUCCUAAAUGUAAGAGAUGGAUGCAAUGUAUAUGAUCUAAAAUGAAUCAUAUUACUUGUGAAUGUUUAGUUUCCUUUUUCUUUCACUAAUGGCUACUGCUUACCUUCGUGUAAGCCGUUUGUGUAUGUUUCCGCUAGUGCACUUCUUAUUGAAAAUGUACAUGUGAUGAGCCUUGGGCGGAUAGGGAAAACUCUGUCCGUUCGGCGUCUGUUUGACGUGCUCGGGUCGGGCCAAAUUGGCAUCGGCCCCGAGGCGUGACAGAGGUUGUGAGACUUCAUGGGGUUCCAGUGUCGAUCGUGUCGGAUCGCGACCCCAGGUUCACAUCCCACUUUUGGAAGAGUUUGCAAGACGCGCUAGGCACACGGCUCGACUUCAGUACAGCGUUUCAUCCUCAAAGUGAUGGACAGUCGGAGCGAACAAUACAAAUCCUUGAGGAUUUACUUCGAGCGUGUGUGCUAGAUUAUAAAGGAGGAUGGCAUGAUUUCUUGCCUAUGGCGGAGUUCGCCUAUAACAAUAGUUAUCAGGAAAGCAUAGCGAUGGCGCCUUUUGAGGCACUAUAUGGACGUAAGUGUCGUUCUCCUAUCCAUUGGAGCGACGUGGGCGAGAGAACGGCUCUUGGCCCGGAUGUGGUGCGGGAGGCGGAAGAGAAAGUUCGCCUUGCUCGUCAACGGUUGGCGAUGGCGCAAUCUCGGCAAAAGAGUUAUGCCGACAAGCGAAAAAAGGAUUUGGAGUUUGCGGUUGGAGAUCGUGUAUUCUUGAGAGUAUCGCCGAUGCGAGGAGUCAAACGAUUUGGGGUCCGUGGGAAGCUAAGUCCCCGUUAUGUCGGACCGUUUGAGAUAUUAGAGCGUGUGGGUGCGGUGGCGUAUAAGCUCGCACUACCACCGAGACUCGCGGGAGUUCACAAUGUGUUUCAUGUGUCGAAUCUUCGAAAGUAUAUUCGGAACUCGACACAUGUAUUGGAGUACGAACCUGUGGAGCUACGUGAGGAUAUGUCCUACGAGGAGUACCCGGUGUGCAUCCUCGAUAAAGAAGUGAGGAAGUUGUGAAGUCGCAAGAUUCCAUAUGUAAAAGUCCAAUGGAGCAACCACGCUGUGCGAGAAGCCACUUGGGAGCUCGAAGAGUCAAUGCGGAGAGAGUAUCCGCAUCUAUUUGAAUCGACGAGUUAAGGUAUGCGUAAUUUCGCGGACGAAAUUAUUUUAAGGGGUGGAGAAUGUAAUAUACCGAAAAUUCGGAAAAUAAAUAUCGAACUUUAGUCAAAUCGACCGAAGUGCGAGGAUGGUACACUUCAGAAAGUCCGAAGGUGUUAAAAUGAUUAAAAGUGAGUUACGGGAGGUUUUCGAGAGCUAUAGAAUCAAAUCUGCAUUCUGCAGUUUUGAGCUCUCGGGGACCGGUCCCUGGUGGGAGAGACCGGUCCUCGAACGCGUAUGAAGUGAGACAGCCGAGAAAUCGGCUUAGUGCUGAGGAAUUAGCUCUCGGGAACCGGUCCCUGCCUGAGAGACCGGUCCCCGAGAGACCGGUCCCACCAGAGAGAGACCGGUCGCAUUGCGCUCAACAGCUCUGGCUGCGCUGGGAGAGCUCUCGGAGACCGGUCCCUAGUCGGGGAGACCGAUCCCCGAGCCCGAAAUCUGCCCAGUCCAGGCAGUUGAAUAAGAUGAAAGUUGAGGGGUUUAUUAGCAUUUUUGCAACCCAAUGGUUAUGUAUGAGGGACAUGAGGGCUUUUCUCUCAUUCCACUCCCUCUCACACUCUCUCCUCUCUUUCUCUCUCUAGAAUACAAAGAAGGAGAAGAAGAAGACAAAGGAAAAGAAGGAAAGGAGGGUGGAGGAGAAGCUAUUGGAGUGAAGCCACUUCAUCUUCUUCCUCUCUAGUGCAAGUUAGGGAAAGCUUUGAGGUAAGCUUCAACCCUAAUCAUGCUAAAACUCUAAUGUGAGAGCCAAGUGACCUAGGAAUGGUUUUUAAGGAGUUUUUAGAGUAAGUGAAGCUUUUCUUUUGCUUCCUUUGAGAUCAAGACCAUGGGUUUGGUGUUGGAGGUAAAGCUUGAAGGAGAGCUUGACCCCUCUCAUGGUGAAAUCCAAACUAGGGUUUGGAAUGAGCUAGGAAUGGUUUAGAUGAACUCUUUAGAGUAUAUUGAAGCUACUUUUGCUUCUCUAUGAGAUCAAACCCUAGGUUUGAUGAUGCUAUAGAGCUAGGGCACCCAAAUUGGGGCUUUUGCUCAUGAGGGUUUCUAAGUGCAAUUGACCCUCUAGAAACCUAAUUUGGGGUAUUUCCGACGCGUUGGUGCGCUCGGAUUAACGUUACGAAAAGCCGAUGCAAAGUUAUGGCCAAAUAAGCCUAAUUUGGCUUCGUUAUGCCGCAGGUAAAGAACGAAGGGUCUAAAAAUCCCAAGAAAAUCAUCGGAGCACCUUCGAAAGCCUACGAGUUGGGUGGUGCUUCUCAAACUCGUUGAACUUCCCUCUAUGCCUAAUGUGUCAUUCAUUUGAGCAUAUAUAUAUAUAUGUUGUUGCAUGCAUUUUAGGGUAAAGUGAUGAUGAAAAUGUAAUGUUGCAUGAUUGUGAGUUCAACUUGCAUAAUAUGAUGAAUGAGAACCUUGUGAAUGUUAGAACCCUAUAUGUAUGCAUGAGAGAAGAUGUGAGUGCUAAAGUGAGCCAAAAGAACCGAGUGGCACAAUGACAUAGAUCGAGUGGCAUUUGAAAACGUAAAGUAAAGUGACACUAGAGUUAGUAUGAGCCAAAGAACCAAAGUGAUGUAAAGAAUGAUGAAAAUGACAAUGUGUAAAGUUAAAGUAAAGUGGGGCAAUAAGAACGAGAAAUGUAAAGAACAAGAAUGCUAAAGAUGGCAAAAGUAAAGAAAAGUAAAGAACAACGUUUGCUAGAGUGGCAACAUAAAGUGAUGUAAUGAACACUAGAGCUAGUGUAAAGUCAAGAUUGAACUUAUAAAUCCUUUGAGUUAAGGAUAUGAUCAUACUUGCUAUGAGUUCCGUGCUCGAGGGCGGUCGCUCCCCCUCGGGCGAUGCGCUCCGGAGUUAUGCAUCACGGGUUGGAGUAAACCCGAAGGACGGUCCUAGCGGGUGAGUUCCUGCGAUGAUGGACUUAAUGUGCAGCAAGUUAAUGUGGCGAAGCCCCCGGGUUAGCCUUGAGAUUAAAGAAUAAUGAACAAAGAGGAAAGAACAAAGAACAAAGUGUAAAGAUAAAGAACGAAAGAACUUGCAUAAUCUGCAUAUGUUAAUGUUGAGCAUAUUCCUUGCUUUUGUUCAGGCAUAUUAGCAUCAUGUUGUAGAUUGGUUACUAUAUUUCAGCUUAUCCUUUCUAUUAUGCCUGAGUUAGUCCUAGUGGAAAAGUCGGUGAUGUUGAGGCCGAACCUACUGAGAACUUUGUUGUAGUUCUCACCCGACUAUUUCCACAGGGCCGGGACCGAGCGAGCCGGCGAGCGACCGAGGUAAAGGUAUCGCGCCUUAGUCAGAGGCCACCAAAGUUGG